rnacentral:lncRNA from 1 species
GAGGUUGGAAUCAGAGAGAGUUGAAGAUGCUGUAUUGCUGGAUGGGCGAUAAGGUCAAAUGAGAUGAUUAUGAAUAUGUUCAAGAAGUCAAGAGUGCAUCUUAAGCAGAAUUUAAGAAAUGAAUAUUGAAAAGAUCGUAUUAAAAAGAUCUUAGCUACUCUCUUUUUUGUUUGUGAGGUCUGAGUACCCAGAGGGUAGGGCUAUUUGUUAGUUAACUCUACGUAAGAUCAGGGAAGCCUUCACAGAGGAAGACAUACCCAAGUUGAGCAUGGAAAGAUGAAGAUGAACAGGUAUAAUGGAGCCUGGUGUUCAGUGCAGUAAGGAGAACUAUUCCAAAGGCACAGUCCUGGAUGUGCCGGAACACUGUGAUUUUCUUCCCUUUGGGCAGCAAUGCCACGUGCUGCAUGGUCAGCACCUGCUCUUCUCUGGACAUUCUGUCCAGCUGUCCAGUCUCUGAGAGAUGGUGACAUUUACAGCCAUUACAAGGCAACGAUCCUGGCCGCCUGCCACAGUGGGGCCCAGGUCCAAGUGGCUACCAUCUGGCAGGACAUCUGCUCAGCCACCGGGAGGGCUUUGGAUGCAGCAACAUGCCCACAGAGAAAACAUUGCACUCUGCCCCUUGAGGGAGAAUACAUUGCAUUUCCACCCAUGCAAGAGAUGAAGAGUGAGAGUAACCCAGAGGGGUGCCUUUCCACUGUGGCCGUGAUCCUUCCAUAGCCUUCGGCACUGGGGUAUCUGACAAUAUGUUUAGAAUGUAAUUGAUGAGAACAUGGCCUCUGUAGCCAGACUGAGUGGGUUCCUAUCCUGGCUGCAUUACUUUACUACAUGACCUUGAGACAAAUUACUUAACCUCUCUGUGACAAGCAAUGAGUCCAUCCUUAGUAAAUGUCAGGUAUGUUUAUUUUUAGAUAACACCUUAGGGCUUGUCAUGUGCUCUGGAACUCUGAGGCUGCUAAGGAUCUCUGUGCAGUGCUCUUCAAUGAUGCUCAAGUCCUACUCCAGUUGACACUUACCUUAUACCCCAGCCACGCUGAAUGCCUAUGUGUCUUUGAAUUUGUAACAUGCUUCCUGACAAUUUUGAGCCUUUGCACGUGAUUCUCUGUCUGAUGGAAAACUCUGGUCCUCUCUUUAUCAAGUUAACUUUUCAUCAUUUAAGACACCUUUAAGAUGUCACUUCUUUCUGGAAGCUGUCUUUGGUUACUUGCAGGCUAUGUAUUGCCAUAGCUCUCUGUGUACUCACCCCUAAUAUCAGAUAGAUGGAUGGAUUGAUGGAAGAGGUAUUAGUGCAUGUGAUCUCUAUUACUCUCAUUUAAUUAAAUCCUUAAACAGUCAAAUUAAGUGCUUUAUUGUCUUCUUGAAAAAAACAUCUAUUUAUUCUUGUUUCAAAUGCAGAUUGUGGCCCACAAGAGAGGGAAUUGAAAGCCCAGUCCUAGAGAAUGAGAUUGGAACAGUCACAUGCUACUUUCCCAUUCAAAUCUCUUCCAGUCUGUGAUUAUGUCCAGCCAAAUUGAGCAGCUGGAAAGAGCUGAUUCGGGGAAUUGGUGUUAUUGCUCCAAUAUAGACAUUUGUUUGGCUGAAUCUAAUCAUGUUUAAAAUGGUUUUAGUUAAGUGAAAUUGUGU